rnacentral:rRNA from 1 species
CCUACGGGAGGCAGCAGUGAGGAAUAUUGGUCAAUGGCCGGGAGGCUGAACCAGCCAAGUCGCGUGAGGGAAGACGGCCCUACGGGUUGUAAACCUCUUUUGUCAGGGAGCAAGGUGCAGGUCGGGACCUGCUGUGAGAGUAUCUGAAGAAACAGCAUCGGCUAACCCCGUGCCAGCAGCCGUGGUACUACGGGGGAUGCGAGCGAUAUCCGGAUUUAUUGGGUUUAAAGGGUGCGCAGGCGGAGGCACAAGUCAGCGGUAAAAUCGCGGGGCUCAACCCCGCCCCGCCGUGGAAUCUGUGGCCCUAGAGUGCGCGAAGGGUAGGCGGAAUGCGUGGUGUAGCGGUGAAAUGCAUAGAUAUCAGGAAGAACUCCGAUCGCGAAGGCAGCCGACCGGCGCGCAACUGACGCUCAUGCACGAAAGCGUGGGUAUCGAACAGGAUUAGAUACCCUUGUAGUC